AUGGCAGGGAAGGAGCUGGAGAGGGAGCUGGCAGUCUGGUCAGAGCCUUGGAGAUCUUCCAUACUGCUCCAGCCUUCCAGGAGGUUUUUUGCCUCAGAGCACACCCAGGCCAACCCAGCUGAACUUAAUGACAUCAAAAGUCUUCAAAACUCAGGGAAGCCUAGGUUGCAACACCCCUCCCUUACUGACUGCUGGACUUUAAUUCAAUCAAAAACAUCCAUAGGACAGGGAAAGUCAAACUCUAACACUCCUCCCCCAGAGACUGCACUGAGAGAUCUGACAAAGCUCCAAGAGGGGAGACUGACAGAAAGCCCCAAAACUAAAAAAAUGAGAGGAGCAAGAGCACAGACAAAUAUGGGGAGCAAAGAAGAGGUGAAUAUGAGCAAACAACAGAAAAAGAAGAAAGAAACUACAAUUGACAGCUUCUGCACAGGCAACAAACCGAGAACAAACAAUACACAGGAGGAGUCAAGUAAUAAAACAGAAAUCCCAGCAAAUUGGACACAGGGUUUGGAAAAACUCAAAAUGCAAUUCAAAACACAAUUAAGAGAGACUGAAGACAAUUGGGACAAGAAUUUAAAAACUAAGAUGAGUCAUCUGGAAAAAGAAAAUAGUGUCUUGAAAGCCAAAAUCAACCAGCUUGAAAAUGAGGCAAAUGAGAUGAAAGAUGAGGCAAAGAAGAUGAAAGAUGAAACAAAGGAGAUGAGAGAUGAGGUAAAGAGAAUGAAAGAUGACCUCCAAAGAAAAUCAGACCAGAAGGAGAAGGAUGACCAAAAAGCCAGGGAUGAAAUCCAGUCUUUAAGAACCAGAAUACAGCAACUACAAUUAAGUGACCUCACAAUGCAGCCAGGCACUAUAAAACAAAACCAAAAGAAUGAAAAAAUUGAGGAAAAUAUGAAGCAUCUCAUUCACAAAACAGAUGAUUUAGAAAAUCAUUCAAGGAGAGAAAAUUUAAGAAUCAUUGUUCUACCAGAAGACCAUGACAAAAGAAAAAUCCUGGACAUAAUACUACAGGAAAUUAUGCAAGAAAACUGUCCCAAUAUUCUGGAACAAGAGGGAAAAGUGGAUACUGAAAGAAUCCACAGAUCACCUCCUGUUCUUUAUCCCCAACUGACAACACCCAGAAAUGUUAUAGCCAAACUCAAGAACUAUUAG
rnacentral:lncRNA from 1 species